UGCCAAGUCCCUUGAGUGAGCUCUCAUCACAGCUGAGCUUCAGCACAGGCGCAAUGUCACAGAAGAAGUGCUCCACAUGGCCUGCGCCACAGAAGGGUGAGGAGAAGAUCAUGCAGGUCUCAAUCAAGGCCACUGAGAAACCAGAGCAGAAAACCAAGGCUCCCAAACACAGGCAGACGGUGGGUCUCAUGAUCACAGAGUAGCGCAAGGGAUGGCAGAUGGCCACAUACCUGUCAUAGCCCAUCAGGGUAAGGAGGAAACAAUGGCUGCAACCCAAGCCUAGGAAGAAGAACAUCUGGGCCCGACAGCCCGCGAUGGAGAUGGCCUGGCUCUCCAUCAGCAGAUGAGCCAGCAUAUUGGGGAUGGUGACCAGUGUGUAGCAGGUCUCAGAGAGGGAGAGCACGGCCAGGAAGCGGUACAUAGGUGUGUGGAGAGUGCGAUCCACCUGGAUGAUGGUGAUGAUGGUGGCAUUGCCACUGAGUGUGACCAGGUUUUGUAUAUGUGUGCAAACAGGUGCACAUGCAACUGAGGACCAUGUAUGUUCCAGGUGGCCAUGGUGGCCUGCCUGUAAUUCCAACAUUCAAGAGAUGAAGAGAGGGGAGACUUGAAGCAAGCUGCCUACCUGAAUCAAUCCUGGCUAAAGCCUGGACAUGAGCCUGCACUUGUCCUCAGAAGCUCACCUCUCCCCCAGCUCCCACCAGGUUGCCGCUUUCCAGCCACAGCUCAAAAGACAUGAAUGUAUCUUCUUCCCCAUCUCUCUAUUCCAGGGAGACUGACAGCUUGCUUGAUCUGUUGCUUUGCUAUUAAACUCUAGUCUAAUUGUG
rnacentral:lncRNA from 1 species